rnacentral:rRNA from 1 species
AUUGAACGCUGGCGGCAGGCCUAACACAUGCAAGUCGAACGAGUGGCGGACGGGUGAGUACUGUCUGGGAAACUGCCCGAUGGAGGGGGAUAACUACUGGAAACGGUAGCUAAUCCCGCAUACCAUCAGAUGUGCCCAGAUGGGAUUAGCUAGUAGUUGGGGUAAUGGCUAACCUAGGCGACGCUCCCUAGCUGGUCUGAGAGGAUGACCAGCAACACGGGAACUGAGACAAGGUCCAGACUCCUACGGGAGGCAGCAGUGGGGAAUAUUGCAAAAUGGGCGCAAGCCUGAUGCAGCCAUGCCGCGUGUGUGAAGAAGGCCUUCGGGUUGUAAAGCACUUUCAGCGAGGAGGCGUUACUCGCAGAAGAAGCACCGGCUAACACCGUGCCAGCCGCCGCGGUAAUAC